GCGCGCGUAGCUCAGCUGGUAGAGCGCUAGACUUUUAAUCUGGAUGUCGCCGGUUCGAGCCCGGCCGCGCGUACCA
rnacentral:tRNA from 1 species